AACGAACGCUGGCGGCAGGCUUAACACAUGCAAGUCGAACGGAAGCUCCGUGGUUCUUGGCCGACGGGUGAGGAACGGGUGGGGGCUGACGCUUUGCUGCGAAAUAGCUCAGUGGAGGUUGAGCUAAUACCGAAUGUGACCUAAGUACGGAAGAUGUCUUGGCAAAGGAUGGGGGCGCGUUGGAUUAGCUAGUUGGUGGGGUAAUGGCCUAUCAAGGCGACGAGCCAUAGCUGGUCUGAGAGAAUGAUCCGCCACACUUGGACUGAGACACGGUCCAGACUCCUACGGGAGGCAGCAGUGGGGGAUACUGGCCAAUGGGCGCAAGGCUGAUCCAGCCAGGCUGGGUGAGUGAUGAAGUUCUUGGGAAUGUACAGCUCUCUAACAGGUGAAGAUACUGACGGUAGCGGGAGAAGAAGCCCCGGCUAACUUCGUG
rnacentral:rRNA from 1 species